rnacentral:rRNA from 1 species
GACGAACGCUGGCGGCGUGCCUAACACAUGCAAGUCGAGCGAGAGGAGUUCCUUCGGGAACAAAUCUAGCGGCGGACGGGUGAGUAACACGUGGGCAACCUGCCUUGUAGAGGGGAAUAGCCUUCCGAAAGGAAGAUUAAUACCGCAUAACAUUACAUUUUCGCAUGAAGAAGUAAUUAAAGGAGCAAUCCGCUACAAGAUGGGCCCGCGGCGCAUUAGCUAGUUGGUGAGGUAACGGCUCACCAAGGCGACGAUGCGUAGCCGACCUGAGAGGGUGAUCGGCCACAUUGGGACUGAGACACGGCCCAGACUCCUACGGGAGGCAGCAGUGGGGAAUAUUGCACAAUGGGGGAAACCCUGAUGCAGCAACGCCGCGUGAGUGAUGAAGGUUUUCGGAUCGUAAAGCUCUGUCUUCAGGGACGAUAAUGACGGUACCUGAGGAGGAAGCCACGGCUAACUACGUGCCAGCAGCCGCGGUAAUACGUAGGUGGCGAGCGUUGUCCGGAUUUACUGGGCGUAAAGGGAGCGUAGGCGGAUUUUUAAGUGAGAUGUGAAAUACCCGGGCUCAACUUGGGUGCUGCAUUUCAAACUGGAAGUCUAGAGUGCAGGAGAGGAGAGUGGAAUUCCUAGUGUAGCGGUGAAAUGCGUAGAGAUUAGGAAGAACACCAGUGGCGAAGGCGACUCUCUGGACUGUAACUGACGCUGAGGCUCGAAAGCGUGGGGAGCAAACAGG